AAAUAGAUACCCCCGGUAGUCCACGCCGUAAACGAUGAAUACUAGGUGUGGGGGUUUCAACACCUCCGUGCCGCCGCUAACGCAUUAAGUAUUCCGCCUGGGGAGUACGGUCGCAAGAUUAAAACUCAAAGGAAUUGACGGGGACCCGCACAAGUAGCGGAGCAUGUGGUUUAAUUCGAAGCAACGCGAAGAACCUUACCUACACUUGACAUCCCUUGCAUUACUCUUAAUCGAGGAAAUCCCUUCGGGGACAAGGUGACAGGUGGUGCAUGGUUGUCGUCAGCUCGUGUCGUGAGAUGUUGGGUUAAGUCCCGCAACGAGCGCAACCCUUGUCGUUAGUUACUACCAUUAAGUUGAGGACUCUAGCGAGACUGCCUGGGUUAACCAGGAGGAAGGUGGGGAUGACGUCAAAUCAUCAUGCCCCUUAUGUGUAGGGCUACACACGUGCUACAAUGGCUGGUACAGAGAGAUGCAAUACCGCGAGGUGGAGCCAAACUUAAAACCAGUCUCAGUUCGGAUUGUAGGCUGAAACUCGCCUACAUGAAG
rnacentral:rRNA from 1 species